CUACGGGUCGCUCCAGUGAGGAAUAUUGCACAAUGGGGGGAACCCUGAUGCAGCAACGCCGCGUGGAGGAUGACGCAUUUCGGUGUGUAAACUCCUUUUAUAUGUCAAGAAAAUGACGGUAGCAUAUGAAUAAGCACCGGCUAACUCCGUGCCAGCAGCCGCGGUAAUACGGAGGGUGCAAGCGUUACUCGGAAUCACUGGGCGUAAAGGACGCGUAGGCGGGCUUGUAAGUCAGGUGUGAAAUCCUACAGCUUAACUGUAGAACUGCACUUGAAACUACGAGCCUAGAGUAUGGGAGGGGGAGAUGGAAUUAGUGGUGUAGGGGUAAAAUCCGUAGAUAUCACUAGGAAUACCUAAAGCGAAGGCGAUCUCCUGGAACAUAACUGACGCUAAGGCGUGAAAGCGUGGGGAGCAAACAGGAUUAGAUACCCGUGUAGUC
rnacentral:rRNA from 1 species